GGGGAUUUAGCUCAGUGGCAGAGCACUUGCCUAGCAAGUGCAAGGCCCUGGGUUCGGUCCCCAGCUCCG
rfam:Rattus norvegicus chromosome 3, whole genome shotgun sequence.